CGGCCGCUUCCGUCCCGGUAGGCGGAAGCCGGAAGUGAGGCGGAGAGCGAGCCAUGGAGGCAGAGGGGCCGGAGCAGCAGCAGAGAGGCGGGGAGCAGGGCCCAGCCCGGGCCAGAGCCAAUGGCGACUGCAGCCGCCCCGUGUCGCUCUCAGGGCAGUCCUACUGGCUGGACGUGUGGCUCUUCAUCCUCUUCGACCUGGCGCUGCUUGUCUUCAUCUAUCUGCUGCCCUGAGUCGGCCGUGGUAGUUCCUAUUCAAGAUGAUGAACUUUGUGAAAGCACGCUUUGGAAGAGGAAGACUUUAUAUGAAGCACAACAACUGGAAAUGAGUCUCCAAACUGUUAAGCCACUGAGUGCUGGGGAUACCUAUUGCUCCAUUCCUGGAUGUACUGACUGAGGGGGUCUGGUUCAUCUAUAACCAGUUUACUUCAAUGAUGAUGUAAAUUGUGCCUUACGCUUGCUUACUUAAAAUUUGAGUUGCCUGGGUAGUAGAAUGGAUUCUCUCUCAUGUAAUAUGUUAAGUGGUUGAAUAAAGACACAAAAAACAGGAUGGGUGGUUGAAGAGCCCUGUCUCUUUAAGAGAUGCAUUUAAACAAUCUUGUAGGAUUGCCUGGUUUCUUGUUAGGUCAGGUGAUUGACAUACUUUUCUUGGCAGAUCAGUUCCUUCUUGCACACUUCCAUCUCCCCCUAUCUUUAAGGCUGUUUAGAGGAGUUCUGCCCAGAAACAGUACCAGCAGCUGUACAAACAGAUGUCAACCAAAGCAGCUGUCUUUAUGCAUGAAAGUUUUACACUAGUGUGCUUCCUGCUAGUGUAGUCACCCUUUAGUAAACUAUAAAGAUUUUUUAAAAUGGU